rnacentral:rRNA from 1 species
GACGAACGCUGGCGGCAUGCUUAACACAUGCAAGUCGAACGAUGAAGAAGAGAAACGCGAACUUCGGUUCAAAUUUCACUUCGGAUUAGUGGCAGACGGGUGAGUAACGCGUGAGCAACCUACCUCUUACAAAGUGAUAGCCUCGGGAAACCGUGAUUAAUACCAUAUGACACAUUCAUAAGGCAUCUUAAGAAUGUUAAAGCUACGGCGGUAAGAGAUGGGCUCGCGUCCCAUUAGCUAGUUGGUGAGGUAACGGCCCACCAAGGCGACGAUGGGUAACCGGCCUGAGAGGGUGAACGGUCACAUUGGAACUGAGACACGGUCCAAGCUCCUACGGGAGGCAGCAGUGGGGAAUAUUGCACAAUGGAGGGAACUCUGAUGCAGCGACGCCGCGUGAGCGAUGAAGGAAUUCGUUUCGUAAAGCUCUGUUCUAUGGGAAGAAAAGGACUGUACCAUAGGAGAAAGCCCCGGCUAAAUACGUG